AAGAGGAAUACUCUUUAGCUUGAACGCUUGUCUUCUGGCGAUAAUAAUGGCCUUCCUCAUUUGUCUAGCUUUCCGCUGUUCUCCUGUUGAGCGUUGUUUUUUUAUAGAGUUCAUGUUACGUAGAUAAUGUUAAGCGUGUAAUAGGAAAAGCAUACCUGUACGUUUGCAUACAGAACAUGCAAAACUUUGCCGGAAUGGUUGAUGCCCU
rnacentral:lncRNA from 1 species